GAACGACGACGACGAUAAACACGAACGGCGGGUUCUCUUAGCUCUACGACGAGACGAAUUACGACAGUAAGCGACUAAGGACGUGUAAAUCUACGCCCGAAGGGUGAAGUACUUAGUUAGUUCCUACUACCGUAUGAUAACUGUCGUUAGACACGAUCACCAACCAUGAACACCUGAAAAUCAGUGUACAUGGAGGAAAAGAUGAAGCUACAAUCACGUACGUUCUCCGUCCGUCUGUUCGUCAUCACUAGUCUUCCCCCUUCUUCUUCGCGGUACCGUGAACCUCAGAAACACUUAACCUCCCCUUUGUGGUAGUUGUUUCUCCACGUACCGCCUCAGUCUCGUCGUACCAAAAACAUACAAGACUGACACCAUUGUUUGCACCAAUAACAGGGUUUGAACAACUUAUACCAAUGAAUAGAGGUACCUUGUUACGUAUACCCCCAAAGCCCGAGCCACUGAUGUCGACGAUUAAAAAAACCGCGGUGUAGGCCCAAACGUUACUAACCUCGAAAGGAGAGACUGAGGAUGUAGUGAGCCCGGGCUUGGUACGAGGAGUAACCAGGUAAAUACAAAGACCCUAUGCCUAACGAGCGUGACGUUCGGAUGGAUGGGAGGGAGGUAGGUGGGCGAACGUUAUGACUUCGUCUCGAUUUGUUAACGUUUGUUCAGGUACCGUUCUUGCGACGGAAUAACAUGCAUCCGAACAUAGACUCACGUCAACCACUACCAACAUAUGCCAGAACGAACGGCAGGGAACCUCGUCUGGUUAAACUGGUACUUCUAGGGUUUCUUAGGGUGGUCGUCAGGUCGAAGAAAUUGACCAUAUGGAAGCCUUAGAGAAAACCUCCGAAGCAUCCCAACUAAGAGUAUCACACCGAGGUUUUGAUGUUUCCCACCCUACAGCGUGAGCCCAACACACGACAGUAUCAAGACGAGCCUAACGAGCAUCAACGACGACCAGAGGGAAAGAUGGCGUUGGUUCAUGGUGUUCCUUCAGGAGACUGAGCUUAUGACGUCCAAGAACACCAACGUAAGGCGUUGUCCUUCUGACUUCAACCACUCCCCGAUCUUCUUUGUGUACUUUCGUCAUAACUCCACCCCUGUCCAAUGUAACCGAGUGAGAGAGUUUGUUUAUCAGACUUUAAAGAGCUAUUUCGAACGUAGUUGGCACCGUUUUUCCCUCUGACCAGUCAGACGUCACACUGGUUCCACCUCCUCUGGUUCUAACACGAGGCGAAAGAAGGGUAGAAGUAGUCGAGGCACUAACCUAUGUAUAGGUUGUAGUAGGAGAAGUGUAAGUGGCACGUCGUUCCGCCGAACUGAUUGUGUUCCGAGCCGUUCUAGGUGCAAAGGGGCCGUUGUGAGAAGCAGUAGGGGUAGUGUAAGGUCUACAACUACGAACGUUAGAUACUAGUCAAGUAGCACGGUAAGAACGCUUCCGCGUGCCCGAUGUCGCCGCCGUAGUGGGUGAACGUCGCGUAGCCGUAUCCGAAACGGAGGUACUAUGAACGGACGCAGUAGCGCCGCCAGUAGCUCUUUUUCUCUUUCCUUAGACGCCACGUCUACAGGGAAAAGACCGAUCGUGGAGUCAAGAAGGACGAGCCGCAGAGUCUGCACUGUAGCAAGUGACCGGAGGAACUCAAGAAGUUGUCACUUCGCGGUGCCCCAUACUUCAGCUAGCCGUGCCGCAACAAGACCACACUAGAGCCCGAGCGCAGCAACUACCGAUGCAAGGACCACCUACGACACUUGCCCCGCUGUUCCGUACCAGUGGCCCGUCCGACCGAGCUCCCGCGUUCGAACUUGUGCUCAGUAGAACUGACCAAGAUGACCCAACACCGACAACAGCCUAACGAGCCGAAGAAGUUGAUGGACAUGACCCGGUUGUUCAUACACAUGGUCUUGUUAGUUGCACAACGAUUGCAUCGCGGUUGCCAACUAGUCCUAAGCGGAACUGUAAGUGUAUACGUACCAUAUAAUCAGGGAUGAAAAUUUAUCCCGCGAUUCGG
rnacentral:rRNA from 1 species